rnacentral:rRNA from 1 species
AUGUCUUCGUGCGAGGACAAGGACUCUGCCGCCGCCCGGGCCGCGGCGACCACGGACGUGGAGCUGAUGAAGCGGUUUUGGCUCAGCGAGAAAGCCGCGCCGGAGAUCCUCCACUUCAAACCCACCUCGUCUCCCGAGGAGACGUUCGAUGACUUCACGGAUAACGGCAUCGACAAUCUGGUGGUCUCGCUGUACCAGAUGGAGCUCGACCGCAUGCUCUUCUUGCUCUGCUUCUACCUACGCCUCCUCCUGCAAAAGGUCAGACUGAAUUCUGCAAAAGUUGGAGGCUGCAAGGAGAUCCUGGAGAAGCAUCUCGAGCAGCCGGUGAUGUCGAAGCUUCCCUACAGUUAUGAUUCGGUGGACGUACAGGGUCACGUCCGCGCUGGUGUACACGGCGCUGGAGUGGAUCCUCAUCACGCUGCUGCACAUCACAUGCUCCUCUUCCACUCCAUUGCCCGCUGGAGUGGAUCCUCAGGCCACCUUGCCUCCUCUGCUCCCGCGGAGAACGGCCAGCAGGCGGCAACACGCGGUCGCUGCGUGAACUCUGUGCCGAAGAUCUCCGGGCUGGGCUACUGCCUCCACCACCGCCGGCUCGUCGCCUCCGCCGCCGACAUGUGCGAGGGAUGCCUGAUGACGAAGGAUGCAGAGGAGAAGGGCACCGUGGUGUUUUCUUGCUGCAGAGCUCUCAUACAGAUUUCUUCUUCACACAAGCUGGAGGACACACAUACUACAAGGGAAGAAGAUCCUUCUGUACAAGGGAAGACAGCCGAAGAAGAAGAAAAUCAAGGCUAUGUUCUGCUGGAUCAAGAAGACCAUGAAGAGGAAGAACACGAGCAGGCACAGGGCGAAGAGAUCACACCCGACAACGAUCGAUUGGUGCCGGUGCUGGUGCCCACACUUGAUGAAAUGACAAUUGCUAAUGAUUUUGGUCUGCAUCCGGAGACCGGCGAGCAGUAUGAACAAAAUAAUAAUCGCGAAACGCGGAAGCAGACAUCUAGGAGUAUAUCCUCAUUUCUUAGCCCGAGGUCUAGCUGGCACAAUGAUGAUAUGUCUUGUGUACAUGAUCAUGGUGAUUUCUUGGCUCUAUUAUCAGAUGAAAUCACGUGGCCUCAGGCAUGUAUAGCCGAUGCAUGUAUGUGCAUAUUUCUAACGGAAUGGUGCAGGUGUUUUUCCCUCGGCUUCUUGUACCCCAACCUCUCGGACCCCUUGAACGGGGAGGCCGCUUCGCUGAUGAUGCGCGACAAGAAAUCAUAUGACCAAAAAGUCCAAGGACCGCAGCGUCAGCUACCCAGGUAUAAGCGCGUGGUUGCGUGCCGACCGUCGACUGGGACGCACAUGAGGCUACCAUUCUUCUACCGGUACGCAGCAGCCAAGUGCCACCGCCGAGCCCUUGAUUUGCAUCCUCCCGGGGCACCAUAA